GAUGAACGCUGGCGGCGUGCUUAACACAUGCAAGUCGAACGAAGCACCUCUCCCGAAGAUUGACACAGCUUGCUGUAGCUUGAUUCAUUUGAGGUGACUGAGUGGCGGACGGGUGAGUAACGCGUGGGUAACCUGCCUCAUAGAGGGGGACAACAGUUGGAAACGACUGCUAAUACCGCAUAGUAAGAAGAAUUCGCAUGUUUUCUUCUUGAAAGAUUUAUCGCUAUGAGAUGGACCCGCGUCUGAUUAGCUAGUUGGUAAGGUAACGGCUUACCAAGGCGACGAUCAGUAGCCGGCUUGAGAGAGUGAACGGCCACAUUGGGACUGAGACACGGACCAAACUCCUACGGGAGGCAGCAGUGGGGAAUAUUGCACAAGGGGGGAAAACCUGAGGCAGCGACGCCGCGUGAGUGAAGAAGUAUUUCGGUAUGUAAAGCUCUAUCAGCAGGGAAGAUAAUGACGGUACCUGACUAAGAAGCCCCGGCUAACUACGUG
rnacentral:rRNA from 1 species